AACCCUAGCCGCCAGCCGCUCGCCGGAGAAGACGAACCAGAGGCCGACCGCCGCCACCCGCCGCCACUCGUCGCCGCACCGGGGAAAUUUCCGACCGCCGAUCGAGGUAAAUUUCAUACCCCCGACUCGUUUUUCCCCACUGAUUCCUCCUAUGGCCAAAUCGAAGCCGAAAUCCCGGUCAAACGGCCGGAAUACGCGGCCGAAGCCCAGCGGCGCCGCCGCGCCCCCUCUCGGUUUUUGCCUCCGACGAGGCCCUUCCCGGCCUCCGUUCGAUGCAAUUUUUAUAUCACCGUGAUCACCAUUCUUUUCUCUACAGGUUGACCGAAGCUAAAUAACCAAAACACGAAC
rnacentral:lncRNA from 1 species